UGUCAGGAUGGCCGAGUGGUCUAAGGCGCCAGACUCAAGUUCUGGUCUUCGAAAGAGGGCGUGGGUUCAAAUCCCACUUCUGACAGUA
rnacentral:tRNA from 1 species